rnacentral:tRNA from 4 species
GGGCCCAUAGCUCAGUUGGUUAGAGCACGCGACUCAUAAUCGCUUGGUCGUAGGUUCAAGUCCUACUGGGCCCACCA